rnacentral:rRNA from 1 species
AUUAGCGGCAUCAUUCGACGUUAGCAACAGAAGAAGCACCGGUCAACUCCGUGCCAGCAGCCGCGGUAAUACGGAAGGUGCGAGCGUUAAUCGGAAUUACUGGCGUAAAGCGCAUGCAGGUGGUUGUUAAGUCAGAUGUGAAAGCCCGGGGCUCAACCUCGGAACUGCAUUUGAAACUGGCAGACUAGAGUACUGUAGAGGGGGGUAGAAUUUCAGGUGUAGCGGUGAAAUGCGUAGAGAUCUGAAGGAAUACCGGUGGCGAAGGCGGCCCCCUGGACAGAUACUGACACUCAGAUGCGAAAGCGUGGGGAGCAAACAGGAUUAGAUACCCCUGGUAGUACACGCUGUAAACGAUGUCUACUUGGAGGUUGUGGCCUUGAGCCGUGGCUUUCGGAGCUAACGCGUUAAGUAGACCGCCUGGGGAGUACGGUCGCAAGAUUAAAACUCAAAUGAAUUGACGGGGGCCCGCACAAGCGGUGGAGCAUGUGGUUUAAUUCGAUGCAACGCGAAGAACCUUACCUACUCUUGACAUCCAGAGAAGCCAGCGGAGACGCAGGUGUGCCUUCGGGAACUCUGAGACAGGUGCUGCAUGGCUGUCGUCAGCUCGUGUUGUGAAAUGUUGGGUUAAGUCCCGCAACGAGCGCAACCCUUAUCCUUGUUUGCCAGCGAGUAAUGUCGGGAACUCCAGGGAGACUGCCGGUGAUAAACCUGAGGAAGGUGGGGACGACGUCAAGUCAUCAUGGCCCUUACGAGUAGGGCUACACACGUGCUACAAUGGCGCAUACAGAGGGCGGCCAACUUGCGAAAGUGAGCGAAUCCCAAAAAGUGCGUCGUAGUCCGGAUUGGAGUCUGCAACUCGACUCCAUGAAGUCGGAAUCGCUAGUAAUCGUGGAUCAGAAUGCCACGGUGAAUACGUUCCCGGGCCUUGUACACACCGCCCGUCACACCAUGGGAGUGGGCUGCAAAAGAAGUGGGUAGUUUAUACUUCGGGAGGAUGCUC